CCCCCGCUAUGAGUAUACCUCUAGUGAGCAUGCGCAACCGGUUCCCUCAGUUCCUUGUCUACAACGGAGGCUAUCCCAACUCCGAAGUAGAGGGGAGGAGGGUGGGUAGUGGAGCACCCGCAGAGACACUCAUCUCGAAGAACAUCAGUUAUUGCACAAGGUGAGUAACCUCCUCUUCUUCUUCGAGGCAUGUCCCUGUGGGUGCGCCAAUGUAGGUGACUUUGAAGCAGUGUAUCUCAAGGAGGUAGGGACUUCGGAUCUGGUAGGAAUGCAGUAAAUAAUACUGCCCUGCCUAAUCGAGUGUCAGAGAGAGGGCCCUGAGUAAGGGCGUAGUGUUUGACAAAUGUGUGCUCGGAGGACCAAGUGGCUGCUCUACAAAUGUCAGUUUGGAGAACCAAGUGG